GACGAACGCUGGCGGCGUGCCUAACACAUGCAAGUCGAACGGAAAGGCCCUGCUUUUGUGGGGUGCUCGUGUGGCGCACGCGUGAGUAACACGUGAGUACCCUCCCCCUGACUUUCGGAGAACUUCAGGAAACUGGGGCUCUUACCGCAUAGGAUCUUCUGCUCCAUGGUGGGCGUUGGAAAGAUUCGGCGGUUGUGGAUGGACUCGCGGCUUAUCAGCUUGAUGGUGGGGUUGUGGCUUACCAAGGGUUUGACGGGUAGCCGGCAUGAGAGGGUGACCGGCGACAAGGGGCCUGAGAGACGCAGCAGUCUCCUACGGGAGGCAGCAGUCGGGAAUAUGGCACAGUGGCGGGGAGUCUGAUGCAGCGACGCCGGGUGCGUGAAGAUGGCUUUCGGGUUGAGAACCGCUGUCGCCGGAGACGAAGCGUGAGUGACGGUAAUGAGUAAAGAAGCACCGGCUAACUACGUG
rnacentral:rRNA from 1 species